rnacentral:misc_RNA from 1 species
CUAUCCCUUCGUAAGAAGUGGUGAUCCAGAUGUAAGGAUCUCUUGAAGGCGGUUGAAUCUAAUCAGUUUUCUACACAGCCUCUGUUAUUUUAACCCGAGCUGAGCAAGAUUACUCGCUGAAUUUAAGCAUAUAAUUAAGCGAAGGAACAGAAAAUAACAUUAAUUUCCUGAAUAGUGGCGAACGAAAAGGAA